UACGUAGGGUGCAAGCGUUAUCCGGAAUCAUUGGGCGUAAAGAGCUCGUAGGCGGUUCAACAAGUCGGCUGUGAAAGUCCGAGGCUCAACCUCGGAAUUGCAGUCGAUACUGUUGUGACUCGAGUCCGGUAGAGGAGAAUGGAAGUCCCGGUGUAGCGGUGAAAUGCGCAGAUAUCGGGAGGAACACCAGUAGCGAAGGCGGUUCUCUGGGCCGGCACUGACGCUGAGGAGCGAAAGCUAGGGUAGCAAACGGG
rnacentral:misc_RNA from 1 species